rnacentral:rRNA from 1 species
AGUGAACGCUGGCGGUAGGCCUAACACAUGCAAGUCGAACGGCAGCACAGUAAGAGCUUGCUCUUACGGGUGGCGAGUGGCGGACGGGUGAGGAAUACAUCGGAAUCUACUUUUUCGUGGGGGAUAACGUAGGGAAACUUACGCUAAUACCGCAUACGACCUACGGGUGAAAGCAGGGGAUCUUCGGACCUUGCGCGAUUGAAUGAGCCGAUGUCGGAUUAGCUAGUUGGCGGGGUAAGGGCCCGCCAAGGCGACGAUCCGUAGCUGGUCUGAGAGGAUGAUCAGCCACACUGGAACUGAGACACGGUCCAGACUCCUACGGGAGGCAGCAGUGGGGAAUAUUGGACAAUGGGCGCAAGCCUGAUCCAGCCAUACCGCGUGGGUGAAGAAGGCCUUCGGGUUGUAAAGCCCUUUUGUUGGGAAAGAAAAGCAGCAGGUUAAUACCCCGCUGUUCUGACGGUACCCAAAGAAUAAGCACCGGCUAACUUCGUG